rfam:Morus notabilis contig10235, whole genome shotgun sequence.
GUCAGUGAUGAUUUAUCCAUAUUUUUUAGGUGUAGUAAGCUUCAUGUCCCUGCAUAAGGGAGAACCUACUUGGAGCUCUAUAUCCGAACAUGAAAUUUCUGGAUUUUUCCGAGGC